rnacentral:rRNA from 1 species
AUGUUUCCUUGGAAUAUCGGCGUUGAUGUCGAGUAUACCAGGGAAGACAAACCUCCGCAAAUUGCUACAGUUCUGCAGUUAUGCGUGGAGGAUCUCGUCCUGGUAUACCACAUCACCGCGGCAACCAAAUGGCCCAAGGAACUCCGCCCGCUCCUGCAGGAGAAGAAGCUGUACACCUUUGUUGGCUUCUGCAUUGGAGGCGACAAGGAGAAGCUGAAGUUGUCUGGUUUAGAGAUCAACCCCGACAAGUAA